rnacentral:rRNA from 1 species
UACAGAGGUCUCAAGCGUUGUUCGGAUUCAUUGGGCGUAAAGGGUGCGUAGGCGGCGCGGUAAGUCGGGUGUGAAAUCUCGGGGCUUAACUCCGAAACUGCAUUUGAUACUGCGGUGCUUGAGGACUGGAGAGGAGACUGGAAUUUACGGUGUAGCAGUGAAAUGCGUAGAUAUCGUAAGGAAGACCAGUGGCGAAGGCGGGUCUCUGGACAGUUCCUGACGCUGAAGCACGAAGGCCAGGGGAGCAAACGGG